UCAGGCCUAACACAUGCAAGUCGAACGGUAACAGGUUAAGAUGAAGAGUGGCGAGCGGGUGAGUAAUGUAUCGGAACGUGCCCAGUCGUGGGGGAUAACUGCUCGAAAGAGCAGCUAAUACCGCAUACGACCUGAGGGUGAAAGCGGGGGAUCGCAAGACCUCGCGCGAUUGGAGCGGCCGAUAUCAGAUUAGGUAGUUGGUGGGGUAAAGGCCCACCAAGCCAACGAUCUGUAGCUGGUCUGAGAGGACGACCAGCCACACUGGGAGUGAGACACGGCCCAGACUCCUACGGGAGGCAGCAGUGGGGAAUUUUGGACAAUGGGCGCAAGCCUAUUCCAAGGGUGCCGCGUGCGGGAAGAAGGCCUUCGGGU
rnacentral:rRNA from 1 species